UACGGAGGGGGCUAGCGUUGUUCGGAAUUACUGGGCGUAAGGCGCACGUAGGCGGACCAUCAAGUUGGGGGUGAAAUCCCGGGGCUCAACCCCGGAACUGCCUCCAAAACUGCUGGCCUGGAGGUCGAGAGAGGUGAGUGGAAUUCCGAGUGUAGAGGUGAAAUUCGUAGAUAUCGGGGGGAACACCAGUGGCGAAGGCGGCGACCUGGGCCAAUACUGACGCUGAGGUGCGAAAGCGUGGGGAGCAAACAGG
rnacentral:rRNA from 1 species